rnacentral:rRNA from 1 species
AUUGAACGCUGGCGGCAGGCUUAACACAUGCAAGUCGAGCGGGGUGAUGGUGCUUGCACUAUCACUUAGCGGCGGACGGGUGAGUAAUGCAUAGGAAUCUGCCUAUUAGUGGGGGACAACAUCUCGAAAGGGAUGCUAAUACCGCAUACGUCCUACGGGAGAAAGCAGGGGAUCACUUGUGACCUUGCGCUAAUAGAUGAGCCUAAGUCGGAUUAGCUAGUUGGUGGGGUAAAGGCCUACCAAGGCGACGAUCUGUAGCGGGUCUGAGAGGAUGAUCCGCCACACUGGGACUGUGACACGGCCCAGACUCCUACGGGAGGCAGCAGUGGGGAAUAUUGGACAAUGGGGGGAACCCUGAUCCAGCCAUGCCGCGUGUGUGAAGAAGGCCUUAUGGUUGUAAAGCACUUUAAGCGAGGAGGAGGCUCUUUUGGUUAAUACCCAAGAUGAGUGGACGUUACUCGCAGAAUAAGCACCGGCUAACUCUGUGCCAGCCGCCGCAGUAA